rnacentral:rRNA from 1 species
CGGUGUUUAACUGGCGUGAUGUGGGACGUCCUACCGGUGGGCUUAGCCUCGCGAGGGGCGGCCCAACUAAUAUCCCGUCGCGGUGCUCUUUACUGAGUGUCGAGUCGGGCCGGUACGUUUACUUUGAACAAAUUAGAGUGCUUAAAGCAGGCUAUCCUCGCCUGAAUACUGCGUGCAUGGAAUAAUGGAAUAGGACCUCGGUUCUAUUUUGUUGGUUUUCGGAACCCCGAGGUAAUGAUUAAUAGGGACAGAUGGGGGCAUUCGUAUCGCGACGUUAGAGGUGAAAUUCUUGGAUCGUCGCAAGACGGACAGAAGCGAAAGCAUUUGCCAAAAAUGUUUUCAUUAAUCAAGAACGAAAGUUAGAGGUUCGAAGGCGAUCAGAUACCGCCCUAGUUCUAACCAUAAACGAUGCCAGCUAGCGAUCCGCCGAAGUUCCUCCGAUGACUCGGCGGGCAGCUUCCGGGAAACCAAAGCUUUUGGGUUCCGGGGGAAGUAUGGUUGCAAAGCUGAAACUUAAAGGAAUUGACGGAAGGGCACCACCAGGAGUGGGGCCUGCGGCUUAAUUUGACUCAACACGGGAAACCUCACCAGGCCCAGACACCGGAAGGAUUGACAGAUUGAUAGCUCUUUCUUGAUUCGGUGGGUGGUGGUGCAUGGCCGUUCUUAGUUGGUGGAGCGAUUUGUCUGGUUAAUUCCGAUAACGAACGAGACUCUAGCCUGCUAAAUAGGCGUACCUUAUGGUAUCGCGAAGGCCCCCGGCUUCGGCCGGUGGGUUUUUACUACCAACGUACAAACAAAUCUUCUUAGAGGGACAGGCGG